AGGCACGAGGAACAAGAUGCGAAAAUCAAGAGAUUGUAUGUCAAUCUGAAGAAAUUGGUGCAGGCUGGUAGCCCAGAGGUUUUACAAGAGGUGGUGACAAGCCAGGCGUCUUUAGAGGCCAAGAAACAGAAAGACAUCAGUGCUCCGCAUAACACCCCUCAGAACAGUAAGACCAUGUGGUCCAACAGAGCCAAGCACAGUGAGGCGGAAAGAGACUUCACUGCUGCAGAGGAGUUCUAUGAAGAGAAGCUUGGGAAAAUGUGUUUCCGCCUCAUCGGCUUCAAGGCUCUGGUCCACCAGGUCGAGCCUGUCAGCAACAUGCUCAUCUCCCGGCAACAGGGGGGACGGGACAUCCGCAGUGCCAUCCGCCUGUUCCACACACAGCGUCCCGAGCCACCCAAGCUGCCCCACCCUCGACCGCCCCUGAUCAACGCCGAGAAGCGUCUGAUGGGUCGCUGCCUCGGCUCCAUCAGCCUAGCCCCCUUCCAGGUGAUCCAGCGGGCCUACCGGAUGAGGGAGCAGGCCGAGGCCCUGCAGAGGAGGUCCCAGCAGGUGGCCCAUUCCCAGGCUCGGAGGGAGGGCGCCCAGGGCCAGCGCCACGGCCUCCUGGAGGCCCGCAGGGAGGUAGUGCUCCAGGUGAGAGAGAAGGAGCAGGAGGAGGUGGAGGGGGCACUGGCCCUGCUGAGAGCUAGCCAGGACAGGGAGGUGCAGGAGGUCAGGCAGAGACACGCUGUGUUCCUGGAGGAGAAGAGGAGGCGGGCAUCGGAACGGGCCAUGGUUGUCGCCUUCAGCAGGCAGCAUGCCUUUCUGUCCAAGACAGUCAACAGGCAUGCUGUGCUGCAGAGGCAGAGUCACACCCAGCAGGAGAGGAGUGUCAUGGUUGCCAGCAGCAGGCAGCAGUCCAGGAUUCAGAGGGAACUCAUAAUGGGAUGCAUAGAGGACAGGCAACAGUCUCUAAAGGAGGAGGCCAUUACAUCCAGAGUGAACAGAGACACUUAUCUAGCCACGAAGCACACCAACCAACUCCUCCGAGCCCAGGAGAGAGUGGCCAGAGUGAAGGCCAACCAUGCCAAGAUGGAGGUCCUGCAUCCUGUACCAGUCAACCAGACUGCCUGA
rnacentral:lncRNA from 8 species